rnacentral:rRNA from 1 species
AUUGAACGCUGGCGGCAGGCCUAACACAUGCAAGUCGAACGGUAACAGGAAGAAGCUUGCUUCUUUGCUGACGAGUGGCGGACGGGUGAGUAAUGUCUGGGAAACUGCCUGAUGGAGGGGGAUAACUACUGGAAACGGUAGCUAAUACCGCAUAACGUCGCAAGACCAAAGAGGGGGACCUUCGGGCCUCUUGCCAUCGGAUGUGCCCAGAUGGGAUUAGCUAGUAGGUGGGGUAACGGCUCACCUAGGCGACGAUCCCUAGCUGGUCUGAGAGGAUGACCAGCCACACUGGAACUGAGACACGGUCCAGACUCCUACGGGAGGCAGCAGUGGGGAAUAUUGCACAAUGGGCGCAAGCCUGAUGCAGCCAUGCCGCGUGUAUGAAGAAGGCCUUCGGGUUGUAAAGUACUUUCAGUGGGGAGGAAGGGAGUAAAGUUAAUACCUUUGCUCAUUGACGUUACCCGCAGAAGAAGCACCGGCUAACUCCGU